UGGGGAAUAUUGCACAAUGGGCGAAAGCCUGAUGCAGCGACGCCGCGUGAGGGAUGACGGCCUUCGGGUUGUAAACCUCUUUCAGCAGGGACGAAGCGCAAGUGAUGGUACCUGCAGAAGAAGCACCGGCUAACUACGUGCCAGCAGCCGCGGUAAUACGUAGGGUGCAAGCGUUGUCCGGAAUUACUGGGCGUAAAGAGUUCGUAGGCGGUUUGUCGCGUCGUUUGUGAAAACCAGCAGCUCAACUGCUGGCUUGCAGGCGAUACGGGCAGACUUGAGUACUGCAGGGGAGACUGGAAUUCCUGGUGUAGCGGUGAAAUGCGCAGAUAUCAGGAGGAACACCGGUGGCGAAGGCGGGUCUCUGGGCAGUAACUGACGCUGAGGAACGAAAGCGUGGGUAGCGAACAGG
rnacentral:rRNA from 1 species